rnacentral:misc_RNA from 1 species
UCAAACUUGGUCAUUUAGAGGAAGUAAAAGUCGUAACAAGGUCUCCGUAGGUGAACCUGCGGAGGGAUCAUUAACGAGUACGGGUCCUCACGGGCCCCAACUCCCACCCUUUGUUGUCGGAUAAAACGUUGCCUCGGCGGGGCCAGCGGCCCCCUUCAUCGGGGGCCCGGGCCCCCGCGCCCACCCGCCGGCGGACUACCAUAACACUGCUCUUUAACCAUGCGGUCUGAGCUGAUUAAACAAAUAAUCAAAACUUUCAACAACGGAUCUCUUGGUUCUGGCAUCGAUGAAGAACGCAGC